rnacentral:rRNA from 1 species
UACGUAGGGGGCGAGCGUUGUCCGAAGUUACUGGGCGUAAAGCGCGCGUAGGCGGUCCCUUAAGUCUGGUGUGAAAGGUUCAGGGCUCAACCCGAACAGGGCACUGGCGACUGGGGGGACUUGAGUGCGGGAGAGGAGAGUGGAAUUCCGGGUGUAGCGGUGAAAUGCGUAGAUAUCCGGAGGAACACCGAUGGCGAAGGCAGCUCUCUGGCCUGCAACUGACGCUGGAGGUGCGAAAGCGUGGGGAGCGAACGGG